rnacentral:ncRNA from 2 species
CCCGCAUCUGAUCGCGCCGGUGCCCGAAAGGGCUUAAUAUGGGAACGCGGUAACGGGGUUCGUCCUGAACCCUCGAAGCCGGGGCUGUCCCUGCAACUGUAAGCGGCGAGCGCGAUGCACCGUUCGGGUUUCGAUCCGGACAGCCACUGGGGUCACCUGGGAAGGCGUGCAUCAAGCCCUGACCCGCGAGCCAGGAGACCUGCCGGCGUGGGUCGCUCAAU